AUACGUAGGGAGCGAGCGUUGUCCGGAAUUACUGGGCGUAAAGGGCGCGUAGGCGGCCAGACAAGUUGUAUGUGAAAGACCAGGGCUCAACUCUGGGGGGUCAUACAAAACUGUCGGGCUUGAGUGUGGUAGAGGAUAGCGGAAUUCCUAGUGUAGCGGUGAAAUGCGUAGAUAUUAGGAGGAACACCAGUGGCGAAGGCGGCUAUCUGGGCCACAACUGACGCUGAGGCGCGAAAGCGUGGGGAGCAAACAGGAUUAGAUACCCUGGUAGUCCACGCUGUAAACGAUGAAUGCUAGGUGUAGGGGGUAUCGACCCCUUCUGUGCCGCAGUUAACACAAUAAGCAUUCCGCCUGGGGAGUACGGCCGCAAGGUUGAAACUCAAAUGAAUUGGCGGGG
rnacentral:rRNA from 1 species